GUUCAGUUGUUGGCGGUGGAUUUAUGUUGAUUAUAAAUACAAGUCCUUUAGUAGGCUAGUAGGCUAACUAAUUAAUGCGAGCAUGACCUACUGUGUCAUGCUAAACAAGCAGGAAGCUGGGCAUUCUUGGUGACUCUGAGAACUAUAAUACAGGCCAAGUCGUCAUUGUUAUAAGAUGGUAAUAACAUCAUCAAAUAUUUGCCCUGUUGAAUGGAUGUACGUUUUUGCGUCACAUCCUGUUGAUGCUAAAAUUACGUGCACUGUUACAUCAAGAUUCAUGAACUUGUCAGCAGUGCAGCCAGCCUUCUUUCUAUGGCCGUAAUGUAAUCGUUUACAGCUCUCGAAAUGAGCAGACAGCUCAGCUGCUUGGUGCAUACUCUUACCAAUCGGUCUAUAUUAUUCCCUCUUGCAUUAUUUAUUUUCAGGCGGUGGAAGAAGCACUUGCAGGUAUGCUACCGACCAGGCUCCUCAACAUCAAUCCGAGACGGAAGAUGAAACGGGAUGAAGCAGUUAGAUUGAGACAAGGCGGCCGGAAACUUUGAUGACCUCAAUGACACUGGCUAGGUGAAGGACAUCAACAAAAUGGCAUCAGGUCACCAGACAUCAGCUCAUAAUCCACAACGUCAUCAACCAUUUUGCGCCAAAAAUGAAGCCGUUCACAUACCAUGGCAUCCUAAGCAGGCAGCACUACACUACUGUGCAACAGUGAGAGAGAGCGGGCAAGGACAAGUAAAGCGGACCUACACUACAGCAAGACUUUGACACUUCUCCACGUUAGAGGCAGCCAUCACCCCCACCGUUGAGCAGCGGCUAUGUGUAACCCCCAAAAGAGGAGAUGAUCCGACGAUGUGUGUGUGGUGUGUGUGUGUGUGUGUGUGUGAUGUAUGAUAUUGUAACACUUCAGUCCUUCUUUUAUACUAUACAGUGUAUACAUAUACAUUUGUGGGUUUGUUUAAAAUCCAUUGCUGAGGUUAAGAAAUGCAUUAUGACAAAUACAUCUGAUUCAGGUGUACUGUCUUUUAUUUGCCACAAAUAAAUCACAUCCUGGAAACCUGUACGAUGUGUGGAUUUAAAGAUCUGCCAGAUCUUUGUGACGGCACAGGAUUGCAGUGGAACCCAAACAUAGCCUACGAACUCCCACGCCAUCUCACCAACUGCCGAUAUGCAGUAUGCCUGAUUUUUCCUGUACAGCAAAGAAAUGUAGAGAUUGUGCCUUCAUCAAGAAUAGGUCAUUUGGAAUCACAACUAUUAUUCAGUUUACUUUGUGCGUGUGGUGUUGCUAUUGCUGUUAU